UACGUAGGGUGCAAGCGUUAAUCGGAAUUACUGGGCGUAAAGCGUGCGCAGGCGGCUUUUGCAAGACAGAUGUGAAAUCCCCGGGCUUUAACCUGGGAACUGCAUUUUGUGACUGCAUGGCUAGAGUGCGGCAGAGGGAUGGAAUUCCCGGUGUAGCGGUGAAAUGCGCAGAUAUCGGGAGGAACACCAGUAGCGAAGGCGGCACUCUGGGCCGGAACUGACGCUGAGGAGCGAAAGCGUGGGUAGCAAAACAGG
rnacentral:rRNA from 1 species